CUGAUGAUAACAUCCUCAAAGAUAAUGAGCUCACUUACUUUGUUAGGAAAUUAAAAAAAAAAAAAAAGGGUACAAUAAGAGACAUUUCGAGAAGUUUCAAGGUAACUCUAGUAAAUAUAGGAAAGAUAAAAGAGAGAGAAUAGAGACAUUAGGGAUGCUAAGAAGAGGUCUCAAUCUGUUAAGUGUCAUAAGUGUCAUGGUUUUGGACAUAUUAGAACAAAGUUCCCAAGUUAUAAGAAAACCCAGGUAAUGUUAUGAACGUCACUCUUACUGAAGACGAGUCUAGCUCCGAUGAUCAAAAUGAGAAUUCUAAUACUGAUGAGGGUUUGGAUUUUAUGGCUUUCAAUUUCGUAGUUAAGAGAGAAUCGAUAAAUAAGAUUAAGAGAGUUGAUGACAUAGAACAAUCUGACUCUUCACUGGAAAAAUAAGAAAUUUAACAACUUCGCUUUUUCUUGUGGAUCCAAGAAAUUUAACAAUAUCUUAUGAUUGAACAAAUCAGCUGGUAAUAUGGGAGGUCUAGGCUAUAAAAAAACAAGUUCUCAUACCGUUACCUAUUUUGAAACCAAGUUUGUACCUAUCUCUAGUAGGACUGAGAGAAUAAAAGUCCAAGGACCCAGAUCAUCUAUGCAACAUAGAGUUUCUCAACUUAAAGUCCAAAACUUGAAAUCUAAAGUUGCUUCUAGGUUCAUUUCUACGUGUCACAACUAUGGUGAGUUAAAUCACAUAACACCUAGGUGUCGUAAGCUGUUGGUUAGGAACAACAAACUGGAUAUCACUACUUAGAUUAGGUUCCUAACUAAACACUUGACUAAGAUGAUCUGUUUUUUUAGAAAGGUUUGGGUUAAAAAAAAAGCGAACUUACAUGUCAAAGCGAUAAACUAAAUUGCGACGUUGCUCACAUUGUUCUUAAAGAUAAAAGUGUUUGUGUACCUCCUUUAGUAAGUCUUUAGGUGCAUAUAAUUAAGUUCCUGGUAUCUACAUAUUCAUACAUGCACUCUAAUUUAUUUUUUAAAUUCAUUUUUGCAUUAUCCUUUUAUAAAACAAAAAAUAUAUAUAUAAGUAUGACGUAAAAAGGAAAAGAAAAAUGGAUUUUUGACAACAUAAUACUUUAAAGUGAUUAAACAUAUUAUUUUGUGAUCUUGUACCAGUAAAAUUAAUGAACAAUGACUAAAGAUUUCAUUAACUUAGUUCAAAUUUGUUUGCAGUACUUGGUAUAAAUUUCUUCAUGUAUCAUCGCACUGCACAUACCAAAACUCUUGUGAAUGAGUCUUGAUCGCGUGUGUAAGAUUUGGGGUGUGGCGAGGUGACCUUGAAUAUAGAUUAACCUUUAAUUAGUUAACCUAAGUUCUAAUAUAUCUUCGAGAAGAAAACAAUUCGAGCGUCAAAAGAUUUGAAUCAUUUUUCAAUAAAGAAAAAUUGAGAUACGUCGUAUACUUCUCUGUAUAGCCUUUAUGACUCGAGUUAUUAAGCCUCCUAGAGUAUCUAAAUUUUGAUGCCCUAUAGUCAUUUAACUUGGGAGUCAUUAGUUUAAAACUCGCUAAGUGAAUUGUCCAAAUGGUCACUGAACUUUGCAAAAAGUUUUCAAAGGGUCAAUGCACUUUAAAAAUCACCUAAAUGGUCAUUGAACUUUGCAAAAAGUUUUUAUAGGGUCACUGAAUUUUAAAAAUCACCUAAAUGGUCACUGAAUUUUACAAAAGAUUUUCAUAGGGUUACAGAACUUUGCAAAAAGUUUCCUAAAGGUCACUGAAUUCAGUGAUUAUAGGGAAACAUUUUUCAAAAUUCAGUGACUAUUUAAGUGAUUUUUAAAGUUCAGUGACCCCGUAAAAACCUUUUACAAAGUUCAUUUAGGUGAUUUUUAAAGUUUAGUGAUCUCUUGAAAAUUUUUUGCAAAGUUCGGUGACCAUUUGGACAAUUCACUCAAAACUCGCUAUAAGAAUCAUUUAGAAUGUUUAAUGAAGAAAAACCUACAAUAAGAUGUGAGAACAAAAUAUAUAUGCUCACCGAUAGGGGAGAAAGAUUUAUACAAAAACAAAAAUGAGCUAUUUUGAUUGAAAGGUUCUAUUAUCUUAAGCAUGUCCUUUCUAACAAAUUUAAGGUUUUAAAUCUUUCUUAGUGAUUAGUGACACUAGAGAUGUAAACGAGCCGGGUCGAAUCGGCUCGCGAGCUUAAAGUUUCGGCUUGGGCUUGGCCCGGUUAAAAUGACCGAGCUUUUUUGCAGGCUUGAGGCAAAAAAAAAGGCUCGGCCCGAGCAACAGCUCGGGCUUUUUCGGGGCCGAACAGGGCAGGCUCGUUUUCUCUCCCUUUUUUUCCAAGGCAGCAGUUCGCUACAUUUUAAAGGCAACCUCAAUUUAUUAUUAUUUUUUUAAAAGCUCGCGAGCUCACGGGCCGGCUCGGGCAAAGCCAUGUCCCCAAAAUGGGGCUCAGCCAGAGCCUAGGCUUGGGUCUACCCAGCCCCGAGCCGAGUCACGUGAAGUUCGAGCCGGCGAGCCCAAUUGCCAUCCCUAAGUGGCACUUUUCACACAUGGGUCUCUUAUCUAGUUUACACCAUACAAGUAUAGAAUGGGUCAUGUGGGAAGAGUUUAUUUUUCAUGAAUUAUAUCCAUAUAAAUAAUCAAAUAACUAUUCAUGUGAUCACGUGAUUUAAGUUCUCAUGCCAUGGUAUUAUGUAAAGAGGCGUUAAUUUUAAAAGGGAAAAAAAAAAAGCAUUCUCUCAUUACAUAUUUUACAUAGUUUUUCAAUCUGCAUGUGUAUCUCUUAAGUCAAGUUCUAUCGAUGUGCAUAAAUAGUGCAUUCCUUCAUUUGUUAUUCGUGAUUAUGUUGCUUGUUUCCCUUUGAUGUUUGCGGCAAAAAUGGAGAGUGAUAAUAUUCAUCUCAGGAAGGAGUAGGAGUAUGAUUUAUGGGGAGUAAUAUUUGAGUUAGCAGUAGUAGUUUUUAGCCAGUAAACAUCUUGGG
rnacentral:lncRNA from 1 species